UUGUUAUCCCAUUUAUGCAAAUGACUCAGAAAUUUCCAACCUGGUACCCCCAAAAUAUUAAAUAUGCCAUUUUAGUCAUUUUUUAAAGUAAAGAGAAGGACAAACAUUCCUAAUUGUUCAUCACUAAAUUAAAAUUUUUCUUUCUAGAUGCCAGGACACCAGCAGGAUGAUACCUUUUUAAAAAAUAAGUAUUCAGUGUUUUGAAGCAUUUUGUUUUUGUAUUUAUUCUGAUUUAUUCUACAGUAGGUUUCUGGGGAAAUCUCAAACACUUUUUAUUGCAGGCCAUGAGAAAUGCUAUAUAGGUGUGGAUUUGGAUGGAUGUGAUGUUUGGAAGCAUCCUGGUUCAUUUUUCUUCCUUUGACCAUCCAUGCUGAUUGAGGCAAGAACAGUAUUGAGCUGAUCACUUUGAUUCGUGACAUCUGCUGUGUUUCUCCACCUGAGCCACCUUACCCCAGAUGUGAUCUUCCCCACAGAGAAAAUGCAAAGAGAUAUUGUUGCAACCACCAGUAUCAGUAAAUGCUUUUCACAAAACAGGAAGCUAAAAUAAGGGGGAAAUCUAUCUGCUAUCUUAACACCCUAAAGAGCUUGAAAUGGAUUUUUUGACAUUCAGUGUUUCACUCACUGAGUUCUCCCCACAUUAUUAAUGGUAUGGGAAUUAGGAGGAGGUCAUCUGACUCACAUGGAUCACCAUAUAAUUCCUUCUGGAGAACAGGUAAAUCUGUCUUUAGCAUCUUCACUGAAUAUGGAAUAGAAGGCAGGAUCAAGCAAAAGCUGGAAGUUGCUUAUAGCCUCUCUCAGAAGGACUUGUCAGCACAAACAAUGCAGAUUGCAAAAUGAGAAAAUCUGAAACAAAAGCACGUGCUCAAAUCUCCCAGGUAAAUAUGCUUCCUAAUGAAAUCUUUUUCUUUGCAGCCUCCUGUACCAAAAUAGUAAACUUUUC
rnacentral:lncRNA from 1 species